rnacentral:rRNA from 1 species
GUUUGAUCCUGGCUCAGGACGAACGCUGGCGGCGGGCUUAACACAUGCAAGUCGAACGAGAAGCUCCAGCUUGCUGGAGGGGACAGUGGCGCACGGUGUGAGUAACGCGUAGGCAACCUGCCCUUUAGCGGGGAAUAACUUCGGGAAACCGUAGCUAAUACCGCAUAAUAUCCUAGAACCGCAUGGUUUCUGGAUCAAAGCCUUCGGGCGCUAAUGGAUGGGCCUGCGUUGGAUUAGGUAGUUGGUGAGGUAACGGCUCACCAAGCCUACGAUCCGUAGCUGGUCUGAGAGGAUGAUCAGCCACACUGGCACUGAGACACGGGCCAGACUCCUACGGGAGGCAGCAGUGAGGAAUAUUGCGCAAUGGGCGAAAGCCUGACGCAGCCACGCCGCGUGAAGGAUGACACCCCUAUGGGGCGUAAACUUCUUUUAUGAGAGAAGAAAACCUGACUCGGUCAGGCUUGACGGUAUCUCAAGAAUAAGCACCGGCUAACUCCGUGCCAGCAGCCGCGGUAAUACGGAGGGUGCAAGCGUUGUCCGGAAUCACUGGGUGUAAAGGGUGUGUAGGCGGGGCUGUAAGUCAGAGGUGAAAUCCUACGGCUCAACCGUAGAACUGCCUUUGAUACUGCAGCUCUUGAGUCUCGGAGAGGUCAUUAGAAUUCGUGGUGUAGCGGUGAAAUGCGUAGAUAUCACGAGGAA